UAGUCUUUAUAUUUACAUAGAAAAAACUGAAAGUAGGAUCUCUGUUCCUAAACUGGAAGACUGGGUGAGAGGGGGAGAGAGAAAGCAAGGCUACCAGCCAUCUUACACAGUGCAAGGAAUGGUCCCCAAUCCAUCUUGAUAAACUAGUGUUUCAGAAUGCUAUUCAGAAGACAGCACAGCAGAAGGCUACGAAGCUGGUCUGCUGCAUUUGUGGCACACUUCCUGGAAGAGUGACAGACGUGUCAUCCUUCUGUUUUGUUUUGUGUUUUUGUUGAGUCACAUUGGAGACCUUCCAGACUCCUUAACAAAUAAGACGAGGCUCAUAAAUUACCUUUACCAGCAAGAAUAAAACAGCCCCCUGCACACCUGCCUACCAGGCUUGUCCAACUUGAACACUGGUGAGGUCAGUCUGCUAGAGCUGCGUUAUCAGAUGAAAGAUAAACUUCCUACAGAAUCCAGACCAGAAGAAUUCUAUGCCAUUGAGCAAGUAAUACACAGUUGAAGAUAAUCUGCUGUCUGAAAUGAGAUUCAGGAAUGUUAAAGCCGAAUGAACAAAUCAGCACUCAACCUCCUACCUGAACUAAGGAGGAUGAAUUUCCUGAGCUGCUCAUGACAUUGACGUGACUGCCUGAAAGCUCUCAUACUGAAAGGGUGAACAAAUUCUAAGUGUGAUUAGCUUAUUUCAUUCACAGGAAUCAGUGUCAAACUUGUGAAAUUAAAUUAUCGACAGCAAUACUUUAUAGAAAGGUCUCAUCAUUUAUGUUCUUCAAAAGCUGGGAUGGAAUGGAUUUAAAAUGCUGUAAACUAGUGGAUUACAUACAAAGCUGGAGCCAGUAGAGGAGCUGGGUUUUCAGGCAUGGACCCUACAGUGAAAUCCAAAGCACAGAUGCUGCUAUCUGAACUCUGCAUUGUACACAGGGACACACAGAUGUCCUGAAAUGGUGGGUCAAUAGUAAAGACGGGAGGGUCAGCACAUGUGACUCUACUCGGACAAAGACUGCCUUGAUGCAAGCAAGUAUCCCAAGUCUGUCAACUUCACCUGGACUCUUCUUCAGUGCUCUGCCUCAAGCCUGUGUGUGAAAAAAAGUAACGGUUAUUCGACAGGGCAAGAUCAGGCUUCUAAUUACAAGAUUGGAAGCUACAAAAGAUUGAAAUGCUGUGGUAACACCAGCCUCAUUUGGGUCUAACAGCUAGAUUGAGACAUAUCCCAGACAUUACUCCAGAGAUCUGACCUGUGUGACAAGCUUUUGACUUCUACAGGCUUCACACAGAGCCAAACAUAAUGCCA